CACCAAAGUUAAGCAAUGUUGAGCCUGGUCAGUACCUGGAUGGGUGACUGCUUGGGAAUACCAGGUGCUGUAAG